GACGUAGGUGGCGAACGUUAUCCGGAAUUAUUGGGCGUAAAGAGCUCGUAGGCGGCUUGUCGCGUCGAAUGUGAAAUCUCAGGGCUCAACUCUGACAUUGCAUUCGAUACGGGCAGGCUCGAGUUCGGUAGGGGAGACUGGAAUUCCUGGUGUAGCGGUGAAAUGCGCAGAUAUCAGGAGGAACACCGGUGGCGAAGGCGGGUCUCUGGGCCGAUACUGACGCUGAGGAGCGAAAGCGUGGGGAGCGAACAGG
rnacentral:rRNA from 1 species